UACGUAGGGGGCAAGCGUUGUCCGGAUUUAUUGGGCGUAAAGAGCGUGUAGGCGGCCUGAAAGGUCAGCUGUGAAAACUCGAGGCUCAACCUCGAGACGUCGGUUGAAACCAUCUGGCUAGAGUCCGGAAGAGGAGUGUGGAAUUCCCGGUGUAGCGGUGAAAUGCGCAGAUAUCGGGAAGAACACCCGUGGCGAAGGCGGCACUCUGGGACGGUACUGACGCUGAUGCACGAAAGCUGGGGGAGCAAACAGG
rnacentral:rRNA from 1 species